AGAGUUUGAUCCUGGCUCAGGAUGAACGCUGGCGGCGUGCCUAACACAUGCAAGUCGAACGGGUGUGGUAUCAGGGAAAAGGGGUUUACUUCUUUGACCAGAUAACACACUAGUGGCGGACGGGUGAGUAACGCGUGGAUAACCUGCCUUAUACAGGGGGAUAACAGGGAGAAAUUCUUGCUAAUACCCCAUAGGUAUGUCUGACGCAUGUUGGACAUAUUAAAGCUUUGGCGGUAUAAGAUGGGUCCGCGUCUGAUUAGCUAGUUGGUGGGGUAAAGGCCCACCAAGGCGACGAUCAGUAGCCGGCUUGAGAGAGUGGACGGCCACAUUGGGACUGAGACACGGCCCAAACUCCUACGGGAGGCAGCAGUGGGGAAUAUUGCACAAUGGGGGAAACCCUGAUGCAGCGACGCCGCGUGAAGGAAGAAGGUCUUCGGAUCGUAAACUUCUAUCAGCAGGGAAGAAGGAAGUGACAGUACCUGAGUAAGAAGCCCCGGCUAACUACGUGCCAGCAGCCGCGGUAAUACGUAGGGGGCGAGCGUUAUCCGGAAUUACUGGGUGUAAAGGGUGCGUAGGCGGUAUGGCAAGUCAGUUGUGAAACCCCCUGGCUCAACCAGGGGCUUGCAAUUGAAACUGUCAUACUAGAGUGCAGGAGAGGAAAGCGGAAUUCCUAGUGUAGCGGUGAAAUGCGUAGAUAUUAGGAAGAACACCAGUGGCGAAGGCGGCUUUCUGGACUGUAACAGACGCUGAGGCACGAAAGCGUGGGGAGCGAACAGGAUUAGAUACCCUGGUAGUCCACGCCGUAAACGAUGAGUGCUAGGUGUUGGGGUCUAAUUAGAUCUCGGUGCUGAAGUUAACGCAUUAAGCACUCCACCUGGGGAGUACGAUCGCAAGAUUGAAACUCAAAUGAAUUGACGG
rnacentral:rRNA from 1 species